GAACAUUCUCAUUGUUGAAGUCCACUUCAACUUGUUCCGCAGCGCUACCCUAAGCAUUGGGAUUAGGGCUUCUAAGUUGUAACUAUAAUAGAAAUCACGAGCUACGUUAAUCCCAACGUCUCUGCACUCUGCGAGAUUCUCAGUGAUUCCUCGUCAACACAAUCUCUGAAUUCGAUCACAAACCGUGGAGUACCUUCGUUUCUUCUACUUGGAGGAAUCAGCAAUCGGUUUUCCGUCACUCUCCUCGCAUCCGUUAAAUUAGAGGUGAGCCACUACACCGUAACCGUUUUUUUUUUUUUUUCUGGAUUUGAUCGAUUUGCAUUACUUCAAUUUCAAUGCAAUGCCGUGACGAGGUUCUUAUGAGUCACCAGAUGUAUAUCUCAAUUCUUGUUCGAACUGCAAUUACAUUUACCUGCUUCAUUGUUGCCAGAUCAUACAAAAUUUUUACUUAGAUUAAUUCGGUUAGUUUAUAUUUAGAUCUAAAUCUCGUCACCGCGGCAUUAUUCCGUCAGUAAGAGACUCACAAUUUUUUACUAAUCUUUCAAUACUCCCUCGCCACCGUGAAGAGCUUGUUCUACAUCCUUGAUUGUGUAGACAUUUAAUAUUUUUGCUAUUAUUUUAUUUGCUUGAUAAGGAUAGUAGUUUGUUCUAUUUUGUCACACAUGAUGAUGGUUAAGUUGAAAAUCGCUCUGCCAAGAGUUGCUUUGCAGGCAUACAUGGAAAAGCCGUGCUUAGCUGAUUGUUUUAUGAUUUCUUAUUGCUUUUUAAGGAUGCUUCCUCUGAACACUACUUGCUCUUUGAUUGCAUAUCGUAUACCUUAAUCUAAAUUAUUAGUUAUUUAGCUUCAUUGCAUCAAUUCUACUUUACCCAUCCAAUCCUGAAAGUAAUGAGAAACGAAAUCUGGAAAUGUGAUUACAACAGAAAGUGGAACUACAUCACUGCAUAUGGCAUAAUUUCAUGUUUUCAUUCUGUUUAUAAGGUUUUAGGGAAAUUGUCUUGGCUAUUGGUACAAGGGAAAUAAAUUACAUUAAGUACAAUAAUAUGUCUUUUCUAACCCAUUUCAUGUCAUUUAUGUCUCUACUUGUAUGAAAGGACUAAACGUGAGACUUUCUCUAUCCAUAAUGAAGCACCCAAAAGUUGAACCCAACAUUAUGCCAUUUAAAUCUAAAAAACAGUGAUGAUAUCUUUUUUGGAAUGACUGCUGUAGAACCUAAUUGCAUUUAGCAAUAUAAUUUAUGUUUAAUGGCUUAUUCGGUUCUUAUAACUAAAAGCCCUUGUUCUUUUAAUUUCUAUUUUAAAACAUCAUAUUUUAAAUCCUAGACAACCGUUUUUAAUCCCUUCAAUGAGAAUUAAAAGUGAUUGAAGAUUAUAUGUGUAGGCACUAGAAGGAAAUAUUUAUAGGUAAUAGGGACUAAAAUGAGUGUUUUUAACUAUAGGAACCAAAUGAAAAAUUAAACUUGUAAUUUAUAUGGCUGUUUUAAGGAAAGUUGUUAUGAUAAUACUGUCGAUGUCGAUACUUCCAUGUUUUGAACCUACGGUCUUUCCGUUUAUGUUAGUGGAAGGGAGAGCUAUUUGCUUCCAGUUCACAAUGGCCGAUUUCCUUUUCUCUUUUAGUCAAACAUUUGCCCACAUAUGUGUUAUAUCUACAAGGUCUACAGAAAUAUAAAAUGACUAGAUAGUUCUCCUUGACGCUGAGAUUGAUAAUAAUAGAGAUUUGGGUAUUAUAGAGUGCUUAAGUUUCGUAUCAAGUAGAUGGAGUAGUUAAAUGGUUUGAUUCUCCUCCUUUAGCGGGUAGGUUUUAAGGGAGGGUUUUGCUUGUCUUUCAGAUGCUUAUACCAUUUCUUUGUAUUAGCUUCAUGGCUUGGUAUUCCUUAUUAGGAUGUAUAGGUGCUUAAUUUUUUUGGACAAUGUAUGUUUAAACUUUGCCUUGAAUUUAAAAUAUUUAGACUACUGUAGGCUACCCUUUUCACUAUUGUGUAUAUCAGUGCAGCCAAUAAAUGGCCUACUUUGUUUGAAAAGAGAGCAUGCAUUUCUCUUUACGGUUUUCCUCGUUAGUUUUUUUGUAUGGAUCAGUCAGUUUCUUCUGUUGAUUUGCCAUGUCGUAAGAUAAAUUCUUAUAAGCCUUGUGGGUUGUCAUCUUCAGGCCAAUUCUCCCCCUUUCAGUCUAACAUUAAGUACAAACUGAUGGCAAAGCUAAACUCACCUCAGAAGCCGCAUAUUAUUUCACAAAUCUUGUCAGCUAUUGCAUUUAUGAUUGACUUAAAUGUAACAUCUCUUUCAAUGGAUUAAGUUCACUAAUAAGAAUCUUGAAACUGGAAGCUAGUUUAACAUUUCUCUGAAUUGUUGAAUGUUUGAUUUAUUACUUGCUGAACCUAACCACUGUUAUGCACUUGUUCCAGCCAGAGAGAAGCUGUUAAAGUUUUCAUAUGGAAAGCCACUCCGUCAUCAUAAAAUCCAAGGGAUAGAAAUCUCUUUUGUGCGCCAUCAAUUAAAAAAAUUCCCAUCUUAUAUUCAAUUCAAGUAAGUAGGCAACGUAAUUCCUAAGUUUGUGUAAUAUUUGAACUUGAAAUGCCACUAAAGAACCAUAUUAAAAACGAUUUUUUUAGAAGAUAACCCUAUAGACUAAUCUUAUUUGUUAUAUUUUUCAUUUUUUCCUUAGGGAUGACGUAAAUGAUUGCAAGAUAAUAAAAUAAACAUAAAACAAAGUUGUCAUUGUCGAUUCAUAUACGUUGAACUCGAUAAAGCCAAGCUGGACUGACUGCAGGGCAGGGCCUAAGCUCUCAAAAAAAAGAGGCUACAAAACAUUGGACUGGCCCCAUUCACAUAAAAUCCUAGCUGAAGACAACUAAAAACUAUACAGAUACAUAUACAAAAGCUAUACACUCAACGUACACCAAAAUUCACAGUUAUGUUACAUGAAACUGUUGGACAUUCCCUUCCUACUGCCUCAUCUCUGCAAGAUGAGUUGAAUUUACAG
rnacentral:lncRNA from 1 species